GGCUUGGCUUCCCUAGAUUUGGCUCACACCAUGAGUGUCUUCUCUCCCAUUCAUUUGGGUUUUUUUCAUAUACUAUAUUUCUGUUGGUUCCAAAUUGCAUAGAGUGAAGACGAUGAUGUCUAGGAUGUCUACAAAUUGAAGAUUCGAAGUGGGCCCGCCCAUUUUUCGUUGCUGCAAUCAAUGUCCUAUGACAACGUCGUGGACUGACGACAACUAUGUGAGAAGAUUUUGGGGUUGCCUCGAUUAUGGGAUAAGAAGAGGUUGUACAUUCUUUGAAUGGUAUGAUCCACGAGUAUGCAAAAGGUUGAAGAUUGUGAUACCUAGAUUGUUAAAAUGAUUAUGCAAGGAGGAAGAGGAAAAUUGAAAAUUGAAAAUGGAGGUUAGAGUUGCCUUGAAAGCACAGAGAUUUCUAUGAGCAAGUCUACUAGGUUUGUGGAUUUUUUUGAUUAUGUUGUUGGGAAUUAGUACUGGAAUGGAGAGAGGUUGUAUCAUCCAAGAAUGUGAACUUCGCACUUGAAUUUUAGUUGAAAUUUAUGAGACUUAGGUGAAUUUUGUG